UUCCACACCAUGAGGCUGAGAGGCUUUUGUUUUCUCUGCCACCAGAACACAGUGGCAGAAAAUGGGCAGCCCUGUGCUACCAAUGCAACCCCAGCAAUUUAAAAGAAAGCCUCACCCCUGCCUCACCACGGGGAGCAAAGUGCUCAGCCCAGGCCCAAACCCAGCUGAAAAAUGCCAACAAGAACAAAAGCAGAACUGCUCAGGCAGGAGCCCCAGUCCUGACCGAGGUGCCUUUGCCUCUCGGGAGGAGCUGGACAGCAGUGCUCCAGAGAGAAACCAGAUGUGCAAGCCCAGGCAGGCUCCAGAUCAGGAAGGCUGCUGUGGUUGUCUCCAUCCAUCGAGGGAGAGUUUGCUGCCACCUUAGGGUCUGUCAGCACAGCUGAGGAGCUCGGUCCCAGCUCCUGGGAGUGUAGAAUACUGGUUUGCCUGGCUGUCCAUGCAGUCUCAUGGUGAAGAGCACAAUUCCCUUCUGGCCAAGGCCUCCAGCAGAAAACCUGGGGGCUAAGGCCAUACUGCAAUAAAAGUUACAAUGGUUCAGUUUCA